GCAUCAUAUGCGUUGGGGAACGGAAAUCGCUGUUCUUGAGAAAUCUGGGGAAACCAUGAGGAGCUAGAGAGCUGCCCAGCACCCCUGUGGGCUCCUCAGAGUUGCCAGAGCAGACCACAUCAAAUAUGAAAAAGAUAUGGUCUUGCCUCUGGUGAUAUUUACUCUGUGGGAGAGAAGCUGAAAUAACAUUCAGAACGCAGAUAGACUACAAAUGACUGGAGCCCUUUGAAAAUUACUCUCUCGGCAUGGAUUCACUCAGGGAAUGAAAGCCUGUUGGACCGACUGAAGCCAGCCCUGGGCAAACACAGACCCAGGGCUGUAGAAUUCUACGGGGGAGGCCGGAAUGCUCAGAGAAAUUCUAGCUGCCAACGGCACUUAGCAACAUGCCCACCAGUGAGGCAGGCUUUCACUUUGUUCCAGUCUUUGAAAGGCUUUCCAUUUAUUCUGAGCACAGGCGCUCUCAGUUUCAAGUGAUGGGUUGGGAAGAAAGAAUGAAAUCAUUAUUAAAUACAGUUUGCUGUGAUCAGCAGAGAUAUAACAA